rnacentral:rRNA from 1 species
AUGCGUAUGUUGAGAUGGAUGUGUGGCCACACGAGGAAGGAUCGAGUCCGGAAUGAUGAUAUACGAGAUAGAGUUGGGGUAGCACCAAUUGAGGAGAAGCUUGUCCAACAUUGUUUGAGAUGGUUUGGGCAUAUUCAGCGCAGGCCUCCAGAAGCUCCAGUGCAUAGCGGACGGCUAAAGCGUGCGGAGAAUGUCAAGAGAGGGCGGGGUCGACCGAAUUUGACAUGGGAGGAGUCCGUUAAGAGAGACCUGAAGGAUUGGAGUAUCGACAAAGAGCUAGCUAUGGACAGGGGUGCGUGGAAGCUUGCUAUCCAUGUGCCAGAGCCAUGA